CCCUCUCUCUCUCUCUCUCUCUCUCUCUCUUUCUUUCUUUCUUUCUUUCUUUCUUUCUUUCUUUCUUUCUUUCUUUCUUUCUUUCUUUCUUUCUUUCUUUCUUUCUUUCUUUCUUUCUUUCUUUCUUUCUUUCUUUCUUUCUUUCUUUCUUUCUUUCUUUCUUUCUUUCUUUCUUUCUUUCUUUCUUUCUUUCUUUCUUUCUUUCUUUCUUUCUUUCUUCCUUCCUUCCUUCCUUCCUUCCUUCCUUCCUUCCUUCCUUCCUUCCUUCCUUCCUUCCUUCCUUCCUUUUUCUGUGCCUCUGGCUGGCUACCUGGCCAACUGUCUCUCUCUUUCUCUCAGAGAGAGAGACAGAGAAACAGAAAGAGAAAUUAUAAGCCAGUUCUCACUUAACAGCCAGAGUGAUUUCAGAGCCUAGAGCAGAGGACCACUGGUGUCAGGCUGCACUGGUGCUGCUGUUACCAAUACUGCUACCUGAGCUACCCCCUGUCAAGAACAGGAGCUGGAACCUGCUGAUUGUUCUUUCAUGAUACUAACAGACCAAAAGGACCCCGCUGACAGAGCAGAUAUACUGCCAAAAGACUCCUCUCUCCUCUCACAAUCCUUCUCCUCAGAGCAAGUCACCAAAGUUCUGAGAAGACCCAAAACAUAUCAGAGAAGCCUAUGCUGCAACCCCAGAGUCCUGGCUGCCAAGAUUAAGACAUGUCCUUAGACCUCCAAUGAGUCAACUACUUUUCAGACAUUAUAAGACAAGUGUGACCAGAAAGGGAUAAGAAUGAUCAUUUACCUCUUCAUUCCUUAAUCACUAAAGUCAAACAAUGCUAAAGAUGCCAUUGGAGCACAGCCAAACAGUUCACCUUAUACAAUUAUGAAGAGGGCAAAGUUUAAAGCAUGCCUUUGUGUCUGGAAACAACAAGAUCUCUUCACUGUACUGUACCAAUGACCUGAGAACCAGGAGAGGUCAACUAGAGAUAUAGGCUUGAACUGAAAAAGAGAAACCAGGCUGGGGGAGAAUCCAUGUUGUCAGCAAAGAAAAUCCUAGCAGUUCACUACCAUCAGAGAACUCUAGAGCCUGUCCAGGGAAAAGGACUCUAAUGUUUGGUUAGCCACAUCCAGGCAAAAGAUCAAAAAGAUAUACUAUCCCCAAUCCUUAACACUUUUGCCAAUGCAACCUGAUGUACCUAAAAGAUUCCUUUCUAACUGGGAGUUUCCGGUCUCCAGCCCAACAUCCCUGCAGAUACCUCCAACACUCCAAGGGGCACUUUGCACAGUUCAUCCAGGGGAAUACAAAAAGAUACCAAAAAGGCAACCAAUUUCCCUCAUCCUCCACCCAGAACAAGUUCUCCGCAGGGGGAGGAAGGAAGGGAUGGUGCCCCACCGAGAUACGUGGCCAGCAACCACCACACACACACACAAAUGAGAAAUCCACCAAGAAUACAUCUUGUAGCUUCUGGGGCAAGCUCAAAGGGAAAUCCAUCCCCAGGCUGCUAAUUGAGGCAGCUCAAGACUCCAGAGAAGGAGAAGCACCAUUCUUUGACCUGAGAAAGAGCAUAGAAGACUGCUUCCCAAGAGGAGGUCAAAGACCACCCUCAAGAACCAUUGCAAAGAGGAAUUAGACAUUGUCCACUAUUGUCAGAAAAGAAAGAGACAAAGACAUAAACAUAAUAUCAUGUCUCACAUGUUAAACGCUAAAUCGCCUUGACUUACCCAAAUGAAACAAGAUCAGAAAACAUCCCAGACCAUAUACAAGAUAUAAGGACCCAGAGUGAAAUUGACAGGCAUAGGGGAACACAAGCUAUGGACAACUUAGAUCAAAGUGAUGCUGAGACAUAAAACAAUGACAGAAGGACUGAUUUAUUAACUUGGAAAAGAAAACUCUCACCCUCCACGUCUAUGACAAGAAAACUAUCACACACAAUCAGAAAUCCUAAUGCAACUGAGAAAAACUCCUCUUGUGUUCUCACCCACACUCACACAAUCUCAACCAUUCUUACACAUCCACACUCACCUGAUUGGACACAAAUCUUACACACACACACACAUGUUCCAGUGCAAGAAGACAGAAGAAUCUACAAUCAAGGGGAGACGACAAUCAACCAUGUUUCCUCCAUAGAGGAAGAGACCAACAAGUGAUCAAGAACAAAGAAUCCUUCCAGGACCAACAUAAGAAGUCAAAUGAACUAUAAGGGACAGAUAAAGAACUUUAGUCCAUGAACUUUCUGGAACAAAGAUCUUUGUUGUAUAGGUCACGUAAGAUGGUGUGCCAUGGACAUAUUAACAUCACAUUAGGGACAUGCAUCCAACACACACACAACGCCAGGAAAGAAUGAAGAUAGGAUUCAGACAUCACAUGAAGAGGAUAUCUGUCAACAUGAAGUAAAUAUGUACAUGCCACACGAUAUAUUUAAUACAUGACCAUUUAACACACUGACUUAGGGGUCCUGUUGUAAAUAAGCACGAUCCAUAACAAAAAAAAAAUGUAGAAACUUGUAAAUAAAGUUCUUUUUUUUUUUUUUGAAACCCUUA